GAUGAAGAACGUAGUGAAAUGCGAUACUUGGUGUGAAUUGCAGAAUCCCGUGAACCAUCGAGUCUUUGAACGCAAGUUGCGCCCGAAGCCAUUAGGCCGAGGGCACGCCUGCCUGGGCGUCACACGUCGUUGCCCCCCCAUCUACUCCUUCGGGAUUGCGGGGGGCGGAUGAUGGCCUCCCGUGCGCCUCGUCGCGCGGUUGGCCUAAAUGCCAAGUCCUCGGCGACGCACGCCACGACAAUCGGUGGUUGCGAAACCGCGGUUGCCUGUCGUGUGCGGUCGUCGCGCAUCGAGGGCUCGAAAAAAUUGCCGGGCUUCGGCUCGACUUUCAACGCGACCCCAGGUCAGGCGGGGUUACCCGCUGAAUUUAAGCAUAUCAAUAAGCGGAGGA
rnacentral:misc_RNA from 1 species